rnacentral:tRNA from 1 species
GGUUCGCUGGUGUAGUUGGGUAAGCAUCAACCUCCUAAUGCAACAUCCUCAAUUCCUAACACUCACCAGUUAUCACGUUCGCCUCACAUUCUGUUGAUCGCGAAAGGUCGCGAGUUCGAACCUCGCGUGAAUCA